CAAUAGCGUAUAUUUAAGUUGUUGCAGUUAAAAAGCUCGUAGUUGGAUUUUGGGUGUGGCAGGCCGGUCCGCCGUUUCGGUGUGCACUGGCAGGCGGCAUCUUUCUGUCGAGGACGCGGUCCGGGUAUGGCUAACGUAUCUGGACGCGGAGUCGGCGCAGUUACUUUGAAAAAAUUAGAGUGUUCAAAGCGGGCCUACGCUUGAAUAUAUUAGCAUGGAAUAACACUAUAGGACUCCUGUCCUAUUCUGUUGGUCUUCGGGAUGGGAGUAAUGAUUAAGAGGAACAGUUGGGGGCAUUCGUAUUUCAUUGUCAGAGGUGAAAUUCUUGGAUUUAUGAAAGACGAACUUCUGCGAAAGCAUUUGCCAAGGAUGUUUUCAUUAAUCAAGAACGAAAGUUAGGGGAUCAAAGACGAUUAGAUACCAU
rnacentral:rRNA from 1 species